rnacentral:rRNA from 1 species
UACAGAGGGGGCAAGCGUUAUUCGGAAUUAUUGGGCGUAAAGCGCACGUAGGCGGCUAUUCAAGUCGGGGGUGAAAGCCCGGGGCUCAACCCCGGAACUGCCCUCGAAACUAGAUAGCUAGAAUCUUGGAGAGGUCAGUGGAAUUCCGAGUGUAGAGGUGAAAUUCGUAGAUAUUCGGAAGAACACCAGUGGCGAAGGCGACUGACUGGACAAGUAUUGACGCUGAGGUGCGAAAGCGUGGGGAGCAAACAGG